AUUGAACGCUGGCGGCAGGCCUAACACAUGCAAGUCGAACGAGUGGCGGACGGGUGAGUAACGCGUGGUAACCUGCCUCAUAGCGGGGGAUAACUAUUGGAAACGAUAGCUAAUACCGCAUACUGUGAGAUGGACCUGCGUUGUAUUAGCUAGUUGGUGAGGUAAAGGCUCACCAAGGCGACGAUACAUAGCCGACCUGAGAGGGUGAUCGGCCACACUGGGACUGAGACACGGCCCAGACUCCUACGGGAGGCAGCAGUGGGGAAUAGUGGACAAUGGGCGCAAGCCUGAUGCAGCCAUGCCGCGUGUAUGAAGAAGGCCUUCGGGUUGUAAAGUACUUUCAGCGAGGAGGCGUUACUCGAAGAAGAAGCACCGGCUAACUCCGUGCCAGCAGCCGCGGUAAUUC
rnacentral:rRNA from 1 species